rnacentral:rRNA from 1 species
AUUCGUCCAAAGACCUUUGUAACUUAGUGGCGAACGGGUGAGUAACGCGUGAGCAAUCUGCCUCGGAGUGGGGGACAACGGUUGGAAACGACUGCUAAUACCGCAUAAUGUGUUUUGACCGCAUGAUCGAGAUGCCAAAGAUUUAUUGCUGAAAGAUGGGCUCGCGUCUGAUUAGAUAGUUGGUGAGGUAACGGCCCACCAAGGCGACGAUCAGUAGCCGGACUGAGAGGUUGACCGGCCACAUUGGGACUGAGAUACGGCCCAGACUCC